rnacentral:rRNA from 1 species
AUAUUGCGCAAUGGAGGAAACUCUGACGCAGCGACGCCGCGUGAGCGAUGAAGGUCUUCGGAUCGNAAAGCUCUGUCCUUGGGGAANAAGAUCGAAAGAUUUGACGGUACCCGAGGAGGAAGCUCCGGCUCACUACGUGCCAGCAGCCGAGGUAGUACGUAGGGGGCAAGCGUUGUCCGGAAUUAUUGGGCGUAAAGGGUGCGUAGGGGGCUUUUUAAGUGAGAUGUGGAAGACCACGGCUUAGACGUGGGGUUGAAUUUGAAACUGGAAGGCUUGAGUAUCGGAGAGGGUAGUGGAAUUCCCAGUGUAGCGGUGAAAUGCGUAGAUAUUGGGAGGAACACCAGUGGCGAAGGCGACUACCUGGACGAAAACUGACGUUGAUGCACGAAAGCUAGGGGAGCAAAC